rnacentral:rRNA from 1 species
CCCCGGCGCCCUCAGUGGCAUUCACUAUUACUGGGCCUAAAGCAUUCGUAGCCGGGCUUGUAAAUCUCUUGUGAAAUCAAUCAGCUUAACUGAUUGUCGUGCUUGAGACACUGCAAGUCUAGGGAAUGGGAGGAGCAAGGGGUAUUCUGGAGGGAGCGGUAAAAUGCGAUAAUCUUCGGAAGACCACCAGUGGCGAAGGCGCCUUGCUAGAACAAAUCCGACGGUGAGGAAUGAAGGCUAGGGGAGCAAAACG